CCUACGGUGGGCAGCAGUGGGGAAUAUUGCGCAAUGGGCGAAAGCCUGACGCAGCGACGCCGCGUGAGGGAUGAAGGUCCUCGGAUCGUAAACCUCUGUCAGCAGGGAAGAACAGUCACUGUGCUAAUCAGCAGUGAAUUGACGGUACCUGCAAAGGAAGCACCGGCUAACUCCGUGCCAGCAGCCGCGGUAAUACGUAGGGUGCGAGCGUUAAUCGGAAUUACUGGGCGUAAAGCGCGCGUAGGCGGUAUGUCAAGUCAAGGGUGAAAUCCCCGUGCUCAACGUGGGAACUGCCUUUGAAACUGGCAGACUGGAGUGUGUGAGAGGAUAGUGGAAUUCCAGGUGUAGGAGUGAAAUCCGUAGAUAUCUGGAGGAACACCGGUGGCGAAGGCGACUAUCUGGGACAUAACUGACGCUGAGGAGCGAAAGCGUGGGGAGCAAACAGGAUUAGAUACCCUGGUAGUC
rnacentral:rRNA from 1 species